rnacentral:misc_RNA from 1 species
UCCCGCUUAACACGGGCAGUCUCCUUGGAGUGCCCAACUAAAUGAUGGCAACUAAGGACAAGGGUUGCGCUCGUUAAGGGACUUAACCCGACAUCUCACGAUACGAGCUGACGACAGCCAUGCAGCACCUAGCUCCCGGUCACCGAAGUGAAAACCCUAUCUCUAGGGCUGUCCGGGGCUUUCAAACCCAGGUAAGGUUCUUCGCGUUGCAUCGAAUUAAACCACAUGCUCCACCGCUUGUGCGGGCCCCCGUCAAUUCCUUUGAGUUUUAAUCUUGCGACCGUACUUCCCAGGCGGGGUACUUAUUGCGUUAGCUUCGGCACUGCAGGGGUCAAUUCCCGCAACACCUAGUACCCAUCGUUUACGGCGUGGACUAC